rnacentral:rRNA from 1 species
UACGACGGGGGCUAGCGUUGCUCGGAAUCACUGGGCGUAAAGGGUGCGUAGGCGGGUCUUUAAGUAAGGGGGGAAAUCCUGGAGCUCAACUCCAGAACUGCCUUUGAUACUGAAGAUCUUGAGUUCGGGAGAGGUGAGUGGAACUGCGAGUGUAGAGGUGAAAUUCGUAGAUAUUCGCAAGAACACCAGUGGCGAAGGCGGCUCACUGGCCCGAUACUGACGCUGAGGCACGAAAGCGUGGGGAGCAAACAGG